rnacentral:sRNA from 1 species
UGUAACAAUAUCAAUCGGUACACCGAAUC